rnacentral:rRNA from 1 species
UGCAACUCGACUACAUGAAGCUGGAAUCGCUAGUAAUCGCGGAUCAGAAUGCCGCGGUGAAUACGUUCCCGGGUCUUGUACACACCGCCCGUCACACCAUGGGAGUCGAUAACGCCCGAAGUCAGUGACCCAACCUGUAAGGAGGGAGCUGCCGAAGGCGGGAUUGAUAACUGGGGUGAAGUCGUAACAAGGUAUC